GCACCUGGCUUGGUCUCCCAAAGUGCUGGGAUUACAGACGUGAGCCACUGCGCCUGGCCUGCUAUCUGGCGUUUCACAGAAAAAAGUUUCCCAGCCUUUGACUUAGAACCCAGGGCAAAUGGAACAAAAUGUAUUCGAAUUACUUGACAUGAAAAUAAACAUAAUACAUGAAUCCUAUCUAUUGUGCAUAAUCUUCAUAGGAGGUAAUAUCAGUCCCACGGUGUAGAAGAGGAAGGGGAGGCUCAGAGAGGUUAAGUAAUAUUUUGAGCAGAAUAUAACAAAUAUCCAAAGUAUGAUUUUGACUUAUGUCUAACUAGCUUCAAAAUCUUUCUACUUUGUCAGAUUCUCCCAGUUGUAACUUGCUAUUUAAUUUAGCAAACAUUGAAUAUUUACUUCCCCAGUACCUGGUAAGUCACUGAGGUAGGUUCUAUAGAGGUAAACUUACCUUCAAGAAACUAAAAUCUAGUGAAAGAACCAGAGAACUAGAUAAACAUGGCAAAGCAUGAACAAAGGCAGGCCAUAUAGGUUAAUCGAGUGUAGAAGUUAAGAACCUGCCUGUCUUGAAGUCCUAGAUCUACUACAGGUAAGCUUGGCAACAAAUCUAGUUAUGGAAUCUUUCUGUCAUGAAACUUUCAUGUCCAUUUGGAAAAGAUGAUAGUUACUUGUCCUAUGAAGAUUGUGAGGAAUAAUGCAUUAUUUUAUUCAAUGUAUACUACUGAGCAUCUACUAGAUACUCAAGUAUGUCUUGAUUUGUAUCUAAAUUUGUAUGCUAUAAAAUCAUAUAGAAAAUGAAGAGUCAUUAUCUAAUUUUAAGUAGGAAAAAUGUGAAUCGAUACUAAUACUAAAAACUAGUAAUUUACUCAAUGCCAGGCAAUGUUACCAGUGUUUUACGUUUUCAGAAAACAAUUAUAAUUAUGAAGAAAACAAUUCUUCACUUUUCAAGAAAGAAAACCAAGGCAAUGAGAAAGAUGUCCCAGCCUGAAGUGAAAUUGAAUUCUGUUCUGCCUCUGCUAUGCUGUAAAUUUAGCAAUAAAGUUUCUGUUCCAU